GGGAGAAGGAGAUCCGCCUCGAUCAAAUCUUUGCUCUAGAGGUUAAUGGAGGAGUUGCUCCUCAUGCUUUCCCUCUGUCUGCACCCCUGAGGGUCACUUCACCCAUUUGUUGAGAUGGGCAGCUGAGAAUGUAACAUGGAAACAGAGAGUGCGGAGCGGCUAUAGCUUGCUGGCAGGUGUCUGGUAGCCAGCCUGGAUUUCCAGCCAUGGAUUGCAUGGGAUGGCUCUCGAAGGACAUUUAUUUCUUAUGAGAAAACUGCCUGCACAUCUCCCCUUUAUAUACCUGACCUGUGAGUAAAAGGGCUAGAGAUUUGGGCAAAGUUAAAUGUUUUGUAGUCUGUUGCUUUCCAUGUGCGUAACUCUUAUCAGUUGAAAUAAAUGGGAAUUAAUUGUU